rnacentral:rRNA from 2 species
UGAUCGGUGCUUGCACCGAGAUUCAACAUGGAACGAGUGGCGGACGGGUGAGUAACACGUGGGUAACCUGCCCUUAAGUGGGGGAUAACAUUUGGAAACAGAUGCUAAUACCGCAUAGAUCCAAGAACCGCAUGGUUCUUGGCUGAAAGAUGGCGUAAGCUAUCGCUUUUGGAUGGACCCGCGGCGUAUUAGCUAGUUGGUGAGGUAAUGGCUCACCAAGGCGAUGAUACGUAGCCGAACUGAGAGGUUGAUCGGCCACAUUGGGACUGAGACACGGCCCAAACUCCUACGGGAGGCAGCAGUAGGGAAUCUUCCACAAUGGACGCAAGUCUGAUGGAGCAACGCCGCGUGAGUGAAGAAGGCUUUCGGGUCGUAAAACUCUGUUGUUGGAGAAGAAUGGUCGGCAGAGUAACUGUUGUCGGCGUGACGGUAUCCAACCAGAAAGCCACGGCUAACUACGUGCCAGCAGCCGCGGUAAUACGUAGGUGGCAAGCGUUAUCCGGAUUUAUUGGGCGUAAAGCGAGCGCAGGCGGUUUUUUAAGUCUGAUGUGAAAGCCCUCGGCUUAACCGAGGAAGCGCAUCGGAAACUGGGAAACUUGAGUGCAGAAGAGGACAGUGGAACUCCAUGUGUAGCGGUGAAAUGCGUAGAUAUAUGGAAGAACACCAGUGGCGAAGGCGGCUGUCUGGUCUGUAACUGACGCUGAGGCUCGAAAGCAUGGGUAGCGAACA